rnacentral:lncRNA from 1 species
AUCUUCACCUUUCCGACCAUUCAGAAUGCUAAGAUAAAUACUCCCAUAGCUCGAUCAGAGCUCAAACUAGAGAGUAGGAGGUAUCUGUUAGGAGUAAUUUAGAAUGGUGUGGUGAUGUAUGAAGAUUCAAGCCCAUUAUGACCUAUCGGAUCUAUAUCAGUACUUUUCAAGCGGUCUAAUUGUUGUGAUUUGUCCAACCUCUGGUUGGCAAAUAUCUGUCCCGACCCCUGGUCGGAGGCUAUCCAAUCUUUCGUUGACAUAUUUUUGAUCCAAACCCUUGGGCAGAAAAGAUUUGGUCCAACCCUAGAUCGAAAAACUAUCAGUCUCAACUCCUAGUCGGCACGCCACACUCUCUGAUCUCUCCUGAAAAGCAAAUUGAUCAGAUACAGAUCCAAAAGGCAGGCACCAACUGGCCAUAGCUGUCAAUGCUAUCUGGCCAUAGCUGUCAAUCCUAUGUGGGCAUAACCGUUUGAUUCUGAGAAUCUUUCAGAUGUAAUCAUUUGAUCUUGAGAAUCUUUCAGAUGUAACCACCUAAUCUUGAGAAUCACAACCAAAUAACCACACCAGAUUUGGCUAGUCUAUCUAUCAAAAAUAAUUAUACAACCAUCUCCUCUAUAAAUACUCAAACCCCAAGGAUCCAGAUAAGUAAUCUAUUUCAGAGAGCUAAAACUUUACUUCUCUGUUUGCGCAUUCUGACUUGAGCAUCGGAGGAUCCUCACCGGAGCACAAUCUUCCGGUCCGGACUUUUUUGUAGGUUACUCCAGCGCUGUGCUUCUCAAUUUUCUGACGUCAAUCAAAAACAAGCCGCAACACCCACCCAUCAAGAAGCUUUAUUUAAACACAAAUUAAUGAUGUCUAAAUCUGCA